rnacentral:misc_RNA from 1 species
AAAGUCGUAACAAGGUCUCCGUAGGUGAACCUGCGGAGGGAUCAUUAUCGAACGGGGCCCUCGUGUCCCUCGACUCACAAACCAGGUGGAAGUGACCCGUGCUUCGGCGCUCCGGCGCCGCCUCGACGCGCAAAUCUGUCGUAUGUCUGAAUCAUACAAGAAUUAAAACUUUCAACAAAGGAUCUCUUGGCUCUC